rnacentral:lncRNA from 1 species
CACAAACUUAUCUUCGUUGAUGCUGUUGCAUACCUCACUGGCAAGCGCCUCUGCCUGGACCUUGACCGCUACAUCUUGGUAGACAUCGAUGACAUCUUUGUGGGCAAGGAAGGGACCCGCAUGAAGGUGGCUGAUGUUGAGGCUCUGUUGACCACCCAGAACAAACUCAGGACCUUAGUUCCCAACUUCACCUUCAACUUGGGCUUCUCGGGCAAGUUCUAUCAUACUGGUGAGCUUAUACCCCUACUCCUUUGGCAUAUCAUAGUUUGACCUGUCCCUUCACUGUCCACCUCCCUGGGCAGACAAGUUGAAGAAAAGGGUCAAGGUUUGGGGUCAGACUGCUGUGAGGAGCUAGUGGUGGGCAUGAAUUUAGGUUCGCAUGGGUGGCUGGAUGGCAAGUUGGCAGUGGGGCAAAUAGAAAGUCUUAGGCAAGGAUCAGGGAUGGAAGGUGGUCAGUGUUG